GGUUAGUCCGAGUACAUUGGUGUUUACAACUAAUUGAUCACAACCAGUUACAGAUUUCUUUGUUCCUUCUCCACUCCCACUGCUUCACUUGACUAGCCUUAA
rnacentral:Y_RNA from 1 species